AGCGAACGCUGGCGGCAGGCCUAACACAUGCAAGUCGAACGAAGUCUUCGGACUUAGUGGCGGACGGGUGAGUAACACGUGGGAACGUGCCUUUAGGUUCGGAAUAACUCAGAGAAACUUGUGCUAAUACCGAAUGUGCCCUUCGGGGGAAAGAUUUAUCGCCUUUAGAGCGGCCCGCGUCUGAUUAGCUAGUUGGUGAGGUAAAGGCUCACCAAGGCGACGAUCAGUAGCUGGUCUGAGAGGAUGAUCAGCCACAUUGGGACUGAGACACGGCCCAAACUCCUACGGGAGGCAGCAGUGGGGAAUCUUGCGCAAUGGGCGAAAGCCUGACGCAGCCAUGCCGCGUGAAUGAUGAAGGUCCUAGGAUUGUAAAAUUCUUUCACCGGGGACGAUAAUGACGGUACCCGGAGAAGAAGCCCCGGCUAACUUCGUGCCAGCAGCCGCCGUAACAC
rnacentral:rRNA from 1 species